rnacentral:lncRNA from 1 species
AAACUAUUUGUAGGAAAAUGAGAUUUGGUCCGCGCUGGAUGGCUCCUCUGGGAGGCAGGCGUGGGGGUCGGGUGUCGGAGGCCCCGUGCGCCCCCCCACCCCCCACCAGAGCCCACGGCGCUCACGGAGCUCUUUAAGAUAAAUGAGCAAAAUUAAGAGACUCACUGGGGGAAGAAAACACUGGAUGGGAGCGAGCGAGAGCGGAUGGUACUUGGUUUCCUCCCAGAAAUGCAUCCACGUGCGCCCCACUGGGGCCUCCCCCAUCUGCUGCAGACUCCAGGGAACUUCCUCCCCUCAAAGACGAACUUCCAGCCCUGGAGCAUGUUUCUUCCUUUCCUGGGAUGUGGCGCUGAAAAGGGCAGAAACCUCUAGUAAGGCACAAGCAACAGAUUGGGGGUGGAGCAGCAGGUCUCUUUGGAGGUGGCCUGGAAGAAACCGGACAGAGAGGAUGGGAAGGGGAGAAACAGAAGAGUGUGACGAGAUCAUGAAGGAAAGAGGAGGCGUCUACUGAAUGUAAGGUAGAGCCAAAGGCAUCUAUUGAUGACUGAAGAAGAGGCAUGAAUAUGACAAAAACAGGAAGCAUCUGUUUCCACCAGUCACCAGCAAGCGGAGGAUCGUAUAAGGACACCCUUCAGUGUCAGUGUGCUUCAUUAUGCUUUUGGAUGUGUUAGUAAAAAUUCUCCGGAUUUGGAGGUGGGUGUGGAGGGUGGGGCUGGAGGACGGAAGAGGAACUUAGGAGCUAAAUGCUGACCCUCUCUAUUUUGCUCCAGAAUGUUCUUUUCCUUUCUCUCUUUGAGUCACCAGUUUCUUUACUGUAUUAGGCUAUGCCCCUUUCCUUGUUUUAUUGCUAUCAGUCAUUGCUUAUUGGCCUUUAUAAUUUUUUUAGUACCAGGAUGGAAAACUCUACAAUAUUGUUUUUUUCCAAUACCGAAGGCGUCUCCUCUCCUCAUCCCUGCUCUUUCCCUCCAGUUAAAAAAGAUAAAUAAACACUCUCUGUUGACAAA